CUUAGGGGGUGUUCACACAGGCAGUUUUUUUUUCAGGUGCGGGUGGAUGUUUUACAUUAUAUUCCUAUGAUACAGGGUGUUUUUGUAAAAACAUCCUGGGUGCUUUUAAAAACACCGCUGCCAGCGGGUUUUUUUCACUGCUCUGGGUGGUUUUCAAGUUGGGAUAAAUUCAACUCGCCAAGAAAAAGCACCCGACGUCAGGUAGUUUUUUGACAGCUGACCAAUGAACGAGAACCUACGUCACUAGGAAAAACGUUGGAAAUUCAAGAAUGGCGACCCAAACCAAGACGUCUUUCCCGACGGAGCAACUUGUUGUUCUUGUCAGUGAACAUGUUGAGUUGUAUGACAUGACCAACAAAUUAUACCACAACAUUUAUCACAAGGAGAGUAUCUGGAGGACGAUCGGUGGGAUUUUGGGACAUAAGUACUACAUUGGAUGACACAAUCAGUAGUCAACCUGGGUCUGGUUCUUUAAAUGGCAGUUCAUCAAGGCCCCCACCCCAUUCAUCUAGGCCCCCACCCUCUCCAUCUCCACCCCCACAACCACCUCAACAAGAACAGCAGCAGGAAUUCGGGCCCAUGAGAGUACAAAGAGGGAGGAAGAGGCAGGCCACUGCGACCAUAACCCCCUACCAGCAACAGGUCCUCAGUGCCCUUGCGAAAGAGGAGAAUGAGCAUGAGCGUUUCCUAUUGAGCUUUGCACCCACACUGGCAAGGUUGGAGCCUCGCAAACAGGCAUUGCUAAAGUGUAGAAUGCAGUCCCUGUUUUAUGACAUCGAGUUUGGAGAAUAAAUGAAAUUAUUAAAUUAAAUUAUUACAUUUAAACACAAACAUCUGCUUUGUACCUCUUUCUUUACAUUAGAUAUUCUGAAGGAGAUUUAACAUUUUAUCUUGUUUUAGCACUACAAUACCCACUUUGAUAUACAUAGGAGCCACACAAUUUCUAUUAGGUAUAAAAAAUAAAUGUAAACUUAUGUCAGCUUUAUCGUUCAUGGGUGUGGUACUGCUUCCAAGAUUCAGAGAAAACUUCAACUUCACCACAUCAUCUGGUGUUUGCUGGUGAUGAAAUGGAAUAGCUUUUAAGCAGAAGCUUUGGGUAGCUCUUAAAAGAGCUGUUGGUUUGGUUGGUUCUUUUAAGGCCUAUGUAACGGACCUAUUAUGUAUCCACCUGUAUUGCGCCCCGGAACCUUUUGUUUACGUCUCACCCGGUACCCUUUUAGAGGCGCACAGCAGCAUUCACGGCGAUGCGUGUUUCGCGCGUAGUCGCGUCGAAGACCGUAUGAAGCAAGCUAACGGCUGACCCAUGAAUGUCCGGUGAAUGCAACUUUUCCCUCUCAAUUUACCCUCGUCUUGCACCCUUGGCAAGCGGAGCGAGAUGUUAUCCUGCCAGGGAACUCGUCCAGCUUCAGACAUGAAGUACUGAGCAAACUUCUCCCUCACUGCCACAGCAUCUCUGCCAGCAUUGUUGGUGCCAAGGCGAGGUGCGUUCUGGAGACCUUGUGAUGGCGCAGCUGUGGAUGUUCCAGUAGAUGACCUAGCCGGUAUUGUAGUGCUGGCAUCCCACCUGAGAAAGUUAUGGAGCAUGCAGGUGGCCUUUACCACAUUCUCUGCCACUUCUGGAGAGACACACAGCACCCGACGGUACACUCUCCAUUGGGAUGCCAGUAUGCCAAACGCACACUCGACCAUUCUGCGCACGUGAGAGAGACGGGUGUUAAACACUUUUUUUUCUCCAGUGUUGUAGCCAGGGUAUGGGCGCAUGAUGUUACGGCGCAAGGGGAAGGCUUCGUCUGCCAGAAACACAUGAGGCAUCGGGCCAAGAUGUUCUGCCCCUGGGAGGAUGGAGUCAUCCGGGAUACCCAAUGUGUUCUGCCGUAGGGCAGUACCAAAAGCGGAGGAGGAGAGGGUUCCCCCAUCACUGUUUCUUCCAUAGGCCCCGAUGUCAACAAGCCUGAAACAGUACCUGGCGUCGACUACAGCCAGAAGGACGAUGGAAAAAGUGCCUUUGUAAUUGUAAUAAAGAGUGCCACUGGAGGGAGGAGCCUCAAUGACUACGUGUUUCCCAUCCAUUGCCCCUAUGCAGUUGGGGAAAUCCAGCUGUUGGAAUCCAGUGGCUAUCUUUCUCCACGCUGCUUUGUCUGGAAUAGGCAUGUAAUCUGGCAGGAGGCAAUCCCAAAUAGCUGUGCAGACCUGAUGAACUAUGCCUGCCACAGUGCUGGCACCCAUCCUGAAGGCGAAAGCGAUGGACCGGAAUGAAUCGCCAGUUGCCAGAUACCUGCCCAAAGAGUGAUAUUUAGUUUAGUCUGAAACAAUUGAGCAAGCAUGCAUACACCUGUUGAUCUUGAUUGUAGCCGUUAGCAGUUAGAUAGCAGUUUCUAUUUCAUUUGCAGGCCUGACAGUCAGGUACGUAAUGCUAGCAGUCUACAUCCUGUCCAGCGAAGGACGCUAUACAUAUAAAAUAGGCCUACUCUGAGCACCUUUAAAACAAGACUGAAGACUUUUAUGUUUGCUUUAGCUUUCUGCUAAAUCUUAAAUACAUUGCACUUUCUAAAAAGCUUUUUUAAAUUUGCCUUUAUAUUCUAUUUAAUACUAAAAUGCCUUUUUAACUUUCUAUUUUACCCAUUUCUUCUUCUAUGACAAUGUUUAUAUGUGAAGCACUUGAGUCUGCCUUGUGUAUGAAAAGUGCUAUAUAAAUAAAGUUGCCUUGCCUUGCCUACGUAUGCUGAAAAGGUGAGAACAAGCUCUGCAACACCAAAGAGUAUGGGAGGCAAGACAACAUAGCUUACAUUAGACCUGUUGCUAGGUAACCUACUACCUGCUUGUUACUAGUAAUAAAAUAAGCUACGAGA